rnacentral:rRNA from 1 species
AGGACGAACGCUGGCGGCGUGCUUAACACAUGCAAGUCGAGCGGAAAGGCCCUUCGGGGUACUCGAGCGGCGAACGGGUGAGUAACACGUGAGUAAUCUGCCCCUAGCUCUGGGAUAGCUCCGGGAAACCGGGAUUAAUACCGGAUACGACCACCUUAGACAUCUUUUGUGGUGGAAAGAAUUUCGGCUAGGGAUGAGCUCGCGGCCUAUCAGCUUGUUGGUGGGGUAACGCCUACCAAGGCGACGACGGGUAGCCGGCCUGAGAGGGCGACCGGCCACACUGGGACUGAGACACGGCCCAGACUCCUACGGGAGGCAGCAGUGGGGAAUAUUGCGCAAUGGGCGAAAGCCUGACGCAGCGACGCCGCGUGGGGGAUGAAGGCCUUCGGGUUGUAAAGCUCUUUUACCCGGGAAGAUAAUGACUGUACCGGGAGAAUAAGCUCCGGCUAACUUCGCGCCAGCAGCCGC